rnacentral:tRNA from 2 species
CCGGUGUAGCUCAGCUGGCUAGAGCAGCUGAUUUGUAAUCAGCAGGUCGUGGGUUCGAGUCCCUCCAUCGGCU